GACAGAGGAUGCAAGCGUUAUCCGGAAUGAUUGGGCGUAAAGCGUCUGUAGGUGGCUUUUCAAGUCCGCCGUCAAAUCCCAGGGCUCAACCCUGGACAGGCGGUGGAAACUGCCAAGCUGGAGUACGGUAGGGGCAGAGGGAAUUUCCGGUGGAGCGGUGAAAUGCGUAGAGAUCGGGAGGAACACCAGUGGCGAAGGCGGCUACCUGGACCAGCACUGACACUGAAGCACGAAAGCGUGGGGAGCAAACAGG
rnacentral:rRNA from 1 species